AGAGGGCCACUGGGGAACACCUUUAUGGAAUCAACACUGGAGACAUCUAUUAUUACAAAGCUAUUUAUUUUCUUAGGUAAACUAUGUAACUGUUAAAUAGGGUGUUAGCGUGACACUGCCAUGCUGAGAUCUGGAGAAGUUGACAGCAUUUUUAAACUGAAUUUUAGAUGGAUUGACUUGGCCAAAGGUACUGUGUAAAAACCCAAGAGAGCCUGUACUAUGUGCUAUACGGUAUUACAGCUGUAGAGCCUGUACUACAUGCUAUAAGGUAUUAUAGCUGUAGCCAUCACUACAGGACUUACUGUGCUACAACAGGACAAUAUGCAACUGGAACUGGGCUGAGACUUAAAAGCAUACACACGGACAUGGGUCAUCCUUGAUACAAGAAUGCCAAGUUUGUUGUGCUCAGGGGAAGUUUAUAUAGGACUCUGACCAUGCCCCAGCUCUCGGGAUCUUUCAGCUGCAGACCCACCAGCCUGAAAUCAAGGUCUCGUGCUCAGAGUAGCUGCAGGCUGCUCAGAGCAGAGGAAAACAAGUUGUUUUGCUUAGAGCAGCUGCAAGCAUAGGAAAGACAAGCUGCUCACAGGGAAUUCAGGAUCUGGGGGUCCACAGCCCCCAACAGUACUGUAGUUAGUGGGUGGAUCGACCCAGGACAUCUGUGUUCAAGAGGACCUUAUGCUUCCUAUUUCCCAAAAUGCUGAUGUGAAUACUGCAAGGCUUUAAUGCAUUAUGCUAACGUGUAUUUUCCCUCUGACUGCUUUCCAGAAGACCUGGUUUUCUAGAAACGAACUGAAAAGAUAGCUCUGAAACCAUGCAUAUGUGUGGACUUGAAACUUCAGGACCUCAAUUUAGGUUUGUAGCUUAACACUGAAAGGACCCCUUUGGACUCCUGGGACAACCAGAUGUCGUGAGACAAAGAGUAAGCUAAGGCCUAGAAGGGACGUUUUCUUAGCAUUUUCCGGGCACCAGUGCAAAUUCACCAAGAUCCAUGGCUCUCACUCUCCUGGCCUCUGCCUUACUUGAUGGGAUCAUGCUGCAGUCAGACCUCCUUCAAGCGCUUGCUGCUUCAGCUGCCUUGACUCCACUUUACUGGAGGGCGCAUACUUGCUGAGUGAGGUGCGGUGGCUAAUCUUUUUAUAGAUGUGAAGACUACAGGGUGCUGUGUAAGAAAGUUAGCAGGCUACAUGGUUAGCAUACAGACUCACUCUGACCAUUCCAUCUGAUAUACACCAGUAUGCUCCAAUCUGGACUGCUUACACACAGCUACCUGCUGAAUGCUAACAGAUCUUUCCUUCUAGCAGGAAUAAGAACUUAAGGCACUGCAGAAGAUGUGUGGAGGGCAGAAACCACGGUGAUGGUGCUUUGCUUGUUAAUAAUAUGAACCAAAGGGGGAAUGGCUCAAGUUUAUCCGGGGCAGGGGGAGGCUGUGAAUUCCAUCUGCAAUGGGCACACUCCUGUAGUAAAAAUUCUCCCUUUUAGCACUGGCAAAGACUAAUUUAAAGAAAAGUUUUUAUACAUUUUAUGUGGAGCCGAAGCUAGAAGAAAUUGGUGGAUCCCCUGGAAGUGGAUUUACAGACGGUUGUGAGUCACCAUGUGGGUGCUGGGAACCGAAUGCUGACCCUCUAGAAGAGCAGCAGUGCUCAUAACCAUUGAGCCAUUAUGAGCCUCCAGUCCACAUUAAUGACAGCAGGGAACUGGUACUACUAUUCUUAGAUGCAGCAGUCUGCCAUCCAGAUGAAGCAAGAGGAAGCUGGGGCUUUCUACACUGACCGCUGAGAAAGAUGAACCAAAACUCCUGCUCCAUGGUACUGAACAAGAUGACUACAGAACUAUAAAAUUUACCAUAGGAAAAUGGGAAGAGCAAUUUACAAUUCAACCAUCUUUAGUUCUGCCUCAAGAUCAAACAAGAUGUUGUAGAGAUGUCCUAACCGUCUGUAGUACAAUUCAAACCCUUACCCGCUACAAGAUCAAAGAGUUCAAUCCAACUGAUGUUAAGAAACUGUCAGAAUAGCUGAAUUGAGAAGGAGCAGGAGUAUUCCCCCAAGGGCAGCUAAUACUGGAGUUUACACCCAGAGGUAGUGAAAUUCCCUGCCUGAGAAACAAGUCAACAGAGAAAGCAGAACUGAGAACACAGCCGAGAGAAGGAAAGAAACAAUGUCGAAGGUGUGACCUCACUGCCUGGAUUCGAAUGCACCUUUGACAGCUUGCUCCGUUGCUGACUCUCAAGAGCCAAUUCACCUUCUCCCCUGUGGCCAGUCUAUACUGGAUUUCUGAACACACUUACCUUCAUAUUGCUUUUUUACUGUGUUUCCUAUAUCAGCGAACUUCCUGUCUUCAAAUAUUAAGAAGUCAUGGCGUUUUGCCAGAGCUGCCAACUCCUCCAUUACAUCCAGAGUAAAAUCAUUCAGAAUAUCAACGUGAGUUUUGAGCAAGCAGAUGCUGGGCCCCAAGGUAUCUGCUAGCUGCAGCAGCUCUCUGGCCUCUGAUACAUCAGCAGACAGACACAGAUUGCUCUCCUUCUUCUGCAUAAGCCUGAGAAGUUUUGAGGCAAGCGGGUGGACUCCGGGCAGCUCUGCUCGAGCACCAAAGCUGAGUUCUUUGCAUGCUUUCUUCUCAGGAGGGGGAACGCCAUUCUGAUUAGCUGCUGCGAAAACGUUCUCCUGAAUGAACCUCUUCACGCUCCCAACCAUCUCAGCAUCGAUUUUUUUCUGCUGCUCGAGAAUCUCCAGCAUUUCAGACAACGUGCACACGGAGUGGAGACGGAUCCCGCGAGCCUGCAGCUUGUCCUUGCCACCCUGCUCACGGUCUAGCAGCACAAUGGCGUCAGUCACCUUCAGGCCCUCCUUCUGAAGAACUUCAACAGUUUCCAAAACACUGGCCCCACUGGUGACGACAUCCUCAAUGAUCAGGCAGGUCUGCCCCGGAUUAAUCUCUCCUUCUACAAGACGCUUGGUACCUAAAACAGAAAUAUAUAAAAUGUUUCAGCUACCUCAAGACAUAUCUGGGCCUACGCUUACUGUGCACACAAAGAAUUAAGAUUCUGUAAAUCUGAUUUAUGAUCAUUUACUUUGAAGCUACUGUUGAUUUUUCAAUGUGCUACACUGCUUAGUUCAGUAUCCUCUGUAUCUCCAAAUUACCAAUUGUAUAAUGUUACAGUAAAACUGACAAAUUAUCUUACAAUGUAAAUACUCA